GCAAUUUAUUUACCAUUAUUUUAUUUGUUUUUCUUUAUCUAUCUGUCACUACGAGAUUUGAUCCUUGCAAUUAACUUGCAAGGGACUAACAACCCCUUGUUUGCGUUGGGUGCAAGUAUUUGUUCUUUUGUGUGUCAGUGUUGUUCAUGAGGUCUUGUGUAGUUCUCCUACUAACAACCCCUUGUUUGCGUUGGGUGCAAGUAUUUGUUCUUUUGUGUGUCAGUGUUGUUCAUGAGGUCUUGUGUAGUUCUCCUACUAGAUUGAUAACCUUGGUUCUUAACUGAGGGAAAUACUCAUCUCUACUGUAGUGCAUCAUCCUCUUCUCUUCGAGGAAAUCCCAACGCAGCUCACAAGUAGCAACCCGCCUUCUUGAGAAUUAGGGAAUCAUCAACAAAUAAAAGGUGUGAAACUGACGGUGCAUUCUUGGACACCGUAAUCUCAUCCAUGCCACCAACUUCUUCAUACAAAAAUAAAAUGGAAAAAGCUUAUGAACAAAGCAAAAUAAUGUAUGGUGAUACCCCCCCUACCUGAGGCCCCUAGUAGGAAUAAACCCUUCAAUUUAUUGGGAACUAUGCCGAACACUGUAAGUAACUAAGGAAACACAACUAAUGAUAAGCUCCACCGUUGAUCAUGAGAGCCAAACUUCAACAUCAUAUCACGAUUGAAAUUACACUCCACUCUAUGAUAACCCCUAUUAAAAGAGCAUGGUGACCCAUCUUUGGUUUUGGUAAUUAAUGACAAUUUGUAUGAACUAAUAGUUGCUUUGAGUUAUACUUGAAAUGUUAUCCACAGGCAAUGCUUAAAGACCAUAUGUUGGUUUCAAGGUUGAAAGAAGAACAUUAGUUAUUGACCAAGGUAUUACUCAUGGAGUUAUCCAAACAUUGGUCAUGUGAGAGUUGAUCCUAUUGCAAGCAUGUCCUGAAGAAGAAGAUUGUGUGAACAGUCAUGUUACCUUCAAGACAUCAUCUUAAUGAAGAGACUAGAAAACGUACAAGGUUGAUCAAGACAAAGUGCUAAGAGUGGAUUCAAGUUGAUCAUCACACAAAGCAUAGAAUAUGUACCAAGUGGGAUCAUGUGAUCUCACGAUAUGGGUUAGGUAUCUUUCCAUGGGAUUGCAUCAAAAGGAAUAUUACAUAUAGCCCAAGAGAGGAUGGCAUUAAGUGAUGAUAGUCAUCAAGGUUGUGGUGUGCAAAUUUAAGAGGAGCAUCACGAAGAGAUCAUAUGCUUGAAGCUUGCCCACUAUUUGGUGCUAAUGGUCUUGUGAAUAUGUGCCUAAGAGGGGCCCAUAGUGGUGUAUGGGGGAGAAAAUUGCGACUCUUCACCAAGAGUGUGCUAACAAGAAAGGUGUUUCAAACUUGAGGCGGGCAUGAUCAUCAUCAUCUAGCUCAAUUGGAUUAUGCGCACGGCAAAUGUUUGGCCUUGAUAGGUUUUCUAUUUUACUGGUCUCACAGUGUUAGUUGGGAGACCGGGUUAUAGGAUUGAUUUUUGUACUAUCGAGGGGGCCUCUCAAGUAUCUUGAUCAUAUCAUUCAUAGAGAGCUCAAACCAUUGCAUCCUUGGCAUCAUCUUUCCUGGUUCUUGUUUGGUUUUUCUCUGUGAGUUUUGGGGCUUGUAGUUAUCUUCAUGACAAGCUCAAUUUCAUCGAAAACGGAUUUUAUAUGCAUCUUCUAUUAUGUUU